AACGAACGCUGGCGGCAUGCCUAACACAUGCGAGUCGAACGAGACCUUCGGGUCUAGUGGCGCACGGGUGCGUAACGCGUGGGAACCUUCCCUUAGGUUCGGAAUAACUCCCCGAAAGGGGUGCUAAUACCGGAUCAUGUCUUCGGACCAAAGAUUUAUCGCCUUUGGAUGGGCCCGCGUUGGAUUAGCUAGUUGGUAGGGUAAAAGCCUACCAAGGCGACGAUCCAUAGCUGGUCUGAGAGGAUGAUCAGCCACACUGGGACUGAGACACGGCCCAGACUCCUACGGGAGGCAGCAGUGGGGAAUAGUGGACAAUGGGCGAAAGCCUGAUCCAGCAAGGCCGCGUGAGUGAUGAAGGCCUUAGGGUUGUAAAGCUCUUUUACCCGGGAUGAUAAUGACAGUACCGGGAGAAUAAGCGCCGGCUAACUCCGUG
rnacentral:rRNA from 1 species